AACGAACGCUGGCGGCAUGCCUAACACAUGCAAGUCGAACGAGACCUUCGGGUCUAGUGGCGCACGGGUGCGUAACGCGUGGGAACCUGCCCUUAGGUUCGGAAUAACUCCCCGAAAGGGGUGCUAAUACCGGAUAAUGUCUUCGGACCAAAGAUUUAUCGCCUUUGGAUGGGCCCGCGUUGGAUUAGCUAGUUGGUAGGGUAAAAGCCUACCAAGGCGACGAUCCAUAGCUGGUCUGAGAGGAUGAUCUGCCACACUGGGACUGAGACACGGCCCAGACUCCUACGGGAGGCAGCAGUGGGGAAUAUCGGACAAUGGGCGAUAGCCUGAUCCAGCAAUGCCGCGUGAGUGAUGAAGGCCUUAGGGUUGUAAAGCUCUUUUACCCGGGAUGAUAAUGACAGUACCGGGAGAAUAAGCUCCGGCUAACUCCGUG
rnacentral:rRNA from 1 species